CGAAGGCGGCGCAAAAUGUCAUAAAUGUUUUUCAUUUUUAAAUUUCAGCAAAUAUGUAUUUAGUUGCAUUAAAUUGCAAUAUAUUAUAAUACAGAGUGACCAAAGAGAUGUGCUGAUAGUGUGCGAAUUGAAAUACGUCGCUAGUAUCCAUGCGGAUACAAAUUAUCCUCCAUGUAUUAAUAUGUCGAGUCAAGCUCCGAAUCUGGGCCCGAGUCGUCCUCGUGGCGGGGGCUUGGGACAGAGAAACAUAGAAGUAGAUCGUCAGUGUGGAGGAAAGAAAUCGAUCUGAAGAAUAUGACACUCUGUAUGUCGACAAGUAUCAGGAUGCCAAUCACAGUGAAUUUAAUAUUAUGAUAUUGUUCUGUGGCGACACUCGACGACGAAACUUUCCGACGGCUUCACGACACAAAGCAUAUCACUGAAGCGUAAAGCCGACAUGCCUAAUGAGCCAUCGAUAUCCCUACGGUCCUUCCACCGAAAAUUUGGAAGAAAGCGUACGCGGCAACAAUCGCGGACGCCUAACGAACGCGUGCGUAGUGGGAAUAUCGAGGGGCAACAAAAGAAACGAAUCGGUUAAAAGAGACAUUCGAGUUUAAAAAGCGAAGUGAGAAGAUUCGAGUUUUAACAGAGAAACGAGGAUAAUCGAGAAGCGAGAAAGUCAGCGGUAAACGAGAAUUGUACAAAACGACCUGAAGGCGAAGAUUAUUGAAUAAAUAUAUUGUUGAACAUCGCCGAGUAUUUCUUUGGCACCUUACAUUAAACACCACCACAGUUCACAUUACUAUUA